UAUUAACAGUCUGAUAAUUCAGUAGUUGAAUUUUGAUAUAAAUACGGCUACCUCGACGCUCAGCAAUUCAGAAGCUUCUGAUUGCAUCUUGCAAUUUCACAAGAUUGGGCAGAUCUUUAUAUUUAUCCUCUUCCUCCUCAAAAUGAAGUUUCAACUCAAAUUUGUGACAAUCAUGGCUCUAGUCAUGUUGCAGCUGGCUUUGGUAAAUGCUGCACCUAAUAAUUUAUAUACUCCUCCUUCUCUUGGAAGGAGAUAAUAUCUCCUCAAUCUACGAUACACCGUGAUUAUGCUUAACAUUGUGGAAAUGCAAUCGAACCAUCCGUUGAUGGGUAGAGUCCUCCUAAAAAUUGAAAUGAAAAUUUAUUCUUUUUUUUUUGGAAAGAUAAAUUUGAAUUUUCAGAAGGACUUUACCCAGCCACAGAUGGUUUGAUUGCAUUUUUUAAAUUCUGAUCCAAUGAAAGAAUGAUGUUGUUUCAAUACUAUUAAAACAGUUUGUGCAUAAUAAA